ensembl:lncRNA
CUCUGACACGGGCAACUCGGAGAUGUGGGAGACUGCUCUUCAGGAGCUGGAGGACAGUGCCACUCCUUCCCCCGGAGGAGGGCCGGGUGGAGAAUCUUCAGUUUUCUUUUUGUUCCUUUUGGUCCAACGGCCAGCGGUACCCACAUUUUCAAUAAAAGACCAAUUUCCCUUUCCUCCAAGUUGCAAGGCUCGUGGAUCGACAAUGAGCGACGCACUGCCUCCUCAUUCUCACCCACGACGCCCCCUUUCGCCAGUGGUCAAGAGGUUGCGGUUCGGAGACGCAACGCCUCUCCACGCGUCUCUGGCCAGUUUCUCCGGGAACACGGGGAGUUUUGCUGUGAUGACUCAGAACGCGAUGCCCUUUGGGCCAUCCGACACCACUCCCUAUAUCGCUGCAGGUAUGUUAGCUGUCCCUUUAGUGCCACUUGUAUGGAGUUUGGGGGCGUGGCUUGUGCUGCCCAACCCAUCUCGCUGUCUCAUUCGGACAGUUCGACUCGUUUAUGUGAUUCAGUUCGCCCGGCGACCUCCCAAGUUCAAUGGCGUUCUCAAGACUUUGGUGGCAGUCCGGGACGCCUCUGUCUUGCGCAAGGAGAUUGCUGUCCUGCUGGCGAAGGAUGAAAUCGAGCCGGUCCCUCCAGCCGAGAUGAGGAGUGGGUUUUACAGCCCUUACUUCAUCGUACCCAAGAAAAGCGGUGGCCUUCGACCUAUCCUGGAUCUGCGAGUCUUGAAUCGGGCCCUGCACAAGCUCCCGUUCAAGAUGUUGACACAGAAAUGUAUUAUCAAAUGCGUCCAAGCCCAGGAUUGGUUUGCAGCGAUCGACCUGAAAGACAAGUUCUUUCAUGUCUCGAUCCUCCCUCGCCACAGACCGUUUCUACGGUUUGCGUUCGAGGGUCGGGCAUGGCAGUACAAAGUCCUCCCCUUCAGCCCCUGGUCGGACCUUGCCUUUCUACGGGCCGGCGUGCCCUUAGAACAAGUGUCCCGGCAUGUUGUUGUCACGACAGAUGCCUUCAACACGGGCUGGGGCGUGACGUGCAAUGGGCAGGCAGCUUCAGGGUCCUGGACAGGACCUCGACUGGGCUAGACAAGCACAUGUUGGUCCGCAUGGACAACACUGAGGCUGUUUCGUACAACAACCGACAGGGCAGUCUACGAUCACGUCGCAUGUCUCAACUCGCCUGCCAUCUCCUCCUCUGGAGUCAGACGCGGAUCAAGUCACUGUGCGCUAUCCACAUCCCGGGGGAGCUCAAUCGUGCAGCCGACGCGCUCUCACGACAGCUCACUUUCCCUGGGGAAUGGUGACUCCAUCCCCAGACGGUUUGAAAUCCCUUCCAAAAACUUUUUGUGGACGAAACAGCAGCAUGGCCUUCUUCAGCAGCGAUGUACUCAC